GACGAACGCUGGCGGCGUGCCUAAUACAUGCAAGUAGAACGCUGAAGGAGGAGCUUGCUUCUCCGGAUGAGUUGCGAACGGGUGAGUAACGCGUAGGUAACCUGCCUGGUAGCGGGGGAUAACUAUUGGAAACGAUAGCUAAUACCGCAUAAGAGUAGAUGUCGCAUGACAUUUGCUUAAAAGGUGCAACUGCACCACUACCAGAUGGACCUGCGUUGUAUUAGCUAGUUGGUGAGGUAACGGCUCACCAAGGCAACGAUACAUAGCCGACCUGAGAGGGUGCUCGGCCACACUGGGACUGAGACACGGCCCAGACUCCUACGGGAGGCAGCAGUAGGGAAUCUUCGGCAAUGGACGGAAGUCUGACCGAGCAACGCCGCGUGAGUGAAGAAGGUUUUCGGAUCGUAAAGCUCUGUUGUAAGAGAAGAACGAGUGUGAGAGUGGAAAGUUCACACUGUGACGGUAUCUUACCAGAAAGGGACGGCUAACUACGUG
rnacentral:rRNA from 1 species